UACGUAGGUGACAAGCGUUGUCCGGAUUUACUGGGCGUAAAGAGCGCGCAGGCGGUCGAUCAAGUCGAGUGUGAAAGCCCCCGGCUCAACUGGGGAGGGUCAUUCGAAACUGGUCGACUCGAAGGCAGGAGAGGGUAGUGGAAUUCCUGGUGUAGCGGUGAAAUGCGCAGAUAUCAGGAAGAACACCCGUGGCGAAGGCGGUUCUCUGGGACGGUACUGACGCUGAGACGCGAAAGCGUGGGGAGCGAACAGG
rnacentral:rRNA from 1 species